GCGUGGUGGCAGACAUCUGUAGUCCCACCUACUUGGGAGGCUGAGACAGGAGAAUCGCUUGAACCCAGGAGGCGGAGGUUGCAGUGAGCUGUGACUGCACCAUUGCACUCCAGCCUGGGCUCCAGAGCGAAACUCUGUCUCAAAUAAAUACAUAAAUAAACCACAUGGUAUUGUUUGUUAGGUUGCUUCAGUGACCCAAGCCACUUUAAAUUGAGAAUAUAAUCUUUCUGACACCAACACCAAGAGGUAUUGUUAAUCUCAUGAAAAGGGAUUGAGGCACCAUGCUUUAAUAAACAUUUUAAAUAUACCAGCAUUUUUUUUCAACACAAGCAUCUUCAAUCCUUUUUUACCUUUUCUCUAUCUUAAUCUUGUUAUAAAAUAAAACAUAGACACAGAAAACUACAUAAAUUGUAGUUUUUAAAAGAUUUUUAAAGGCAUUUUAUUUUUUAUUUUAUUUUAUUUGAGACGGAAUCUCACUCUGUCGCCUAGGCUGGAGUGCAGUGGCGUGAUCUUGCCUCACUGCAACCUCCACCUCCCAGGUUGAAGCGAUCCCUUUGCCUCAGCCUCCCAAGUAGCUGAGACUACAGGCACCCACCAUCACACCUGACUAAUUUUUUGUAUUUUUAAUAGAGAUGGGGUUUCUAUAUUCUAAUAGAGUUGGCCAGGCUGGUCUUGAACUCCUGACCUUGUGAUCUGCCCACCUCGGCCUCCCAAAGUGCUGGGAUUACAGAAGUGAGCCACCACACCUGGCCUAUGUUAUUUAUUUGUUUGUUUGUUUGUUUAUGAGAUGGAGUCUUGCUCCAUUUCCCAGGCUGGAAUCUCAGCUCACUGCAGCCUCCAUCUCCUGGGUUCAAGCGGUUCUCCUGCCUUAGCCUCCCAAGUAACUUGGAUUACAGGUAUGCACCACUGCACCUGUCUAAUUUUGUAUUUUUAGUAGAUAUGGGGUUUCACCAUGUUGGCCAGGCUGGUCUCAAACUCCUGACCUCAAGUGAUCCAGCCACCUCAGCCUCCCAAAGUGCUGGUAUUACAGUUGUGAGCCACCACACCCAGCCUGUUUUGUUUUAUUUUAUUUUUUGAGACAGGGUCUUGCUCUGUCACCCACGUUGGAGUGCAGUGGUGCAAUCAGUGCUCAUUGCAGCCUCAAACUUCUGGGCUCAAGGGAUCCUCCCACUUCAGCCUCCCAAUCAGCUGGAACUACAGAUGCAUAACACCACAGCUGGCUAAUAUUUUAAUUUUAAUUUUUAUAGAGACAGGGUCUUGUUAUGUUGCCCAGGCUUGUCUUGAACUCCUGGACUCAAGUGAUCCUCCUACAUCAGGCUCACAAAAUGCUGGGAUUAUAGGUAGCGCCCUGUAAUUUUGGCUUGAAGAACUCCUUUUAGUAUUUCUUAUAGGGCAAGUUUUCUAGUGAUGAACUCUCACCUAGUAGAAUGGCUAAAAUCCAAAACACUGAGAAUACCAAAUACUGGAGAGGAUGUGGAGCAACAGGAACUCUCAUUGCUGGUGGGAAUGCAAAAUGGUAUAGUGAUUUGGAAAAUAGUCUGCCAGUUUAUUACAAAACUCAACAAACUCUUACAAUAUGACCCAGAAAUUGUGCUCUUUGGUAUUUACCCAAAUGAAUGAAAACCUACGUCCACACAAAAACCUGCACAUAGACGUUUACAGCAGCUUCAUUCAUAAUUGCUAAUACUUGGAAGCAACCAAGAUGUCCCUCAGCAGGCGAAUGGAAAAACUGGUACAUCCAGACAAGGGACUAUUGUUCAGUGCCAAAAAGAAGCAAGAUACCAAGCCAUGAAAGACAUGGAGGAAACUUAAAUGCAUAUCACUGAGUGGAAGAAGCCAAUCUAAAAAGGCUGUAUACGGUAUGACUCCCAACUAUAUGAAACUGUGGAAAAGGCAAAACUGCUGAGACAGGAAAAAGAUCAGUGGUUGACGGAAGGGAGGGAUAAAUAGGCAGAGUACAGAGAAUUUUUAGGGCGGUGAAACUACUGUAAUAUGUCAUUAUACAUUUGUCAAAACCCAUAGAGUAAGCCUGGGCAAAAUAGCAAGACCCCAUCUCUACAAAAAAAUUUUUAAAACCUAGCCAGGCACUUGUCCUCCAAAAUGCCCACUUGGCCCUCUUCCAAGUAUAUUUUACUUUCUUUUCAUUCCUGCUCUGAAGCUUUUUAAUAAACUUUCACUGCUGCUGUA
rnacentral:lncRNA from 10 species